rnacentral:rRNA from 1 species
GACGAACGCUGGCGGCGUGCCUAAUACAUGCAAGUCGAGCGAAUGAUGAGGAGCUUGCUCCUCUGAUUUAGCGGCGGACGGGUGAGUAACACGUGGGCAACCUGCCCUGUAGACUGGGAUAACUUCGGGAAACCGGAGCUAAUACCGGAUAAUUCUUUUAGCCUCAUGGCUUUAAGCUAAAAGGCGCUUCGGCGUCACUACAGGAUGGGCCCGCGGUGCAUUAGCUGGUUGGUGGGGUAAUGGCCUACCAAGGCAACGAUGCAUAGCCGACCUGGGAGGGUGAUCGGCCACAUUGGGACUGAGACACGGCCCAAACUCCUACGGGAGGCAGCAGUAGGGAAUCUUCCACAAUGGACGAAAGUCUGAUGGAGCAACGCCGCGUGAGUGAUGAAGGUUUUCGGAUCGUAAAACCCUGUUGUAAGGGAAGGACAAGUGCGUUAGGUAAUGAACGCACCUUGACGGUACCUUAUUAGAAAGCCACGGCUAACUACGUGCCAGCAGCCGCCGUAA